CCUACGGGAGGCAGCAGUAGGGAAUCUUUCACAAUGGGCGAAAGCCUGAUGGAGCAACGCCGCGUGCAGGAUGAAGGCCUUCGGGUUGUAAACUGCUUUUAUAAGCGAGAAGUAUGAUGGUAACUUAUGAAUAAGGAUCGGCUAACUACGUGCCAGCAGCCGCGGUCAUACGUAGGAUCCGAGCAUUAUCCGGAGUGACUGGGUGUAAAGAGUUGCGUAGGUGGCAUAAUAAGUAGCUAGUGAAAUCUGGUGGCUCAACCAUUCAGACUAUUAGCUAAACUGUUAAGCUCGAGACCGUUAGGGGUAACUGGAAUUUCUAGUGUAGGAGUGAAAUCCGUAGAUAUUAGAAGGAACACCAAUAGCGUAGGCAGGUUGCUGGGACGGUUCUGACACUAAGGCACGAAAGCGUAGGGAGCAAACGGGAUUAGAUACCCCUGUAGUC
rnacentral:rRNA from 1 species